rnacentral:rRNA from 1 species
AGUGAACGCUGGCGGUAGGCCUAACACAUGCAAGUCGAACGGCAGCACAGGAGAGCUUGCUCUCUGGGUGGCGAGUGGCGGACGGGUGAGGAAUACAUCGGAAUCUACUCUGUCGCGGGGGAUAACGUAGGGGAACUUACGCUAAUAUCGCUUACGACCUACGGGAGAAAGACGGGGAUCUUCGGACCUUGCUCGAAUGAAUGAGUCGGUGUCGGUUUAGCUAGUUGGGAGGGUAAAGGCCCACCAAGGCGGCGAUCCGUAGCUGGUCUGAGGGGAUGAACAACCACACUGGAAGUGAGACUCGGGCGAGACUCCUACGGUAGGCAGCAGUGGAGAAUAUUGGACAAUGGGCGCAAGCCUGAUCCAGCCAUACCGCGUGGGUGAAGAAGGCCUUCGGGUUGUAAAGCCCUUUUGUUGGGAAAGAAAUCCAGCUGGCUAAUACCCGGUUGGGAUGACGGUACCCAAAGAAUAAGCACCGGCUAACUUCGUACCAGCCGCCGCGGUAA